AUUGAACGCUGGCGGCAUGCUUUACACAUGCAAGUCGAACGGUAGAGGGGGCAACCCCUUGAGAGUGGCGAACGGGUGAGUAAUGCAUCGGAACGUGCCCAGUCGUGGGGGAUAACGCAGCGAAAGCUGUGCUAAUACCGCAUACGAUCUCUGGAUGAAAGCGGGGGACCGAAAGGCCUCGCGCGAUUGGAGCGGCCGAUGUCAGAUUAGGUAGUUGGUGGGGUAAAGGCCUACCAAGCCAACGAUGUGUAGCUGGUCUGAGAGGACGACCAGCCACACGGGGUCUGAGACACGGCCCAGACGACUACGGGAGGCAGCAGUGGGGAAUUUGGGACAAUGGGCGCAAGCCUGAUCCAGCAAUGCCGCGUGCAGGAAGAAGGCCUUCGGGUUGUAAACUGCUUUUGUACGGAACGAAACGGUCUGGGUUAAUACCCUGGGCUAAUGACGGUACCGUAAGAAUAAGCACCGGCUAACUACGUGCCAGCAGCCGCCGUAA
rnacentral:rRNA from 1 species